rnacentral:pre_miRNA from 1 species
UAGACAGAUUUUUGUAUUCGACUGUAUUCACGGCGUGAAACGGGGGAUUACAACUGUUGUUAAAUGGAAAGUGAAUCAAUUAACAUAAUAGACUCCU